rnacentral:misc_RNA from 1 species
UAUUACUGAGGUGUGUACAUCUGGAAAUCUAAGAAAUUACAGGAAGAAGCAUCGCCAUGUCUCCUUGAAAGCCUUGAAGAAAUGGUCGAAGCAGGUACUUGAGGGGUUAGAGUAUCUCCAUACACACGACCCAUGCAUUAUUCACAGAGAUCUGAAUUGCAGCAACAUCUUUGUUAAUGGGAACGUUGGCCAGGUGAAAAUUGGUGACCUUGGCUUUGCAACAAUAGUGGGGAAGAGCCAUGCAGCGCAUUCAGUCAUAGGCACACCAGAAUAUAUGGCACCAGAGCUGUAUGAGGAGGAUUACACUGAGUUGGUGGACAUAUACUCUUUUGGAAUGUGCUUGCUAGAGAUGGUUACAACAGAGAUACCAUACAGUGAAUGUGACAGUGUUGCCAAGAUAUACAAGAAGGUGACAACUGGAGUAAAGCCUCAAGCCUUGAACAAGAUAGAAAAUCCAGAAGUGAAGGUUUUUAUUGAGAAGUGCAUAGCUGAGCCAAGGGCAAGACCUUCAGCCUCUGAUCUUCUCAAGGAUCCCUUCUUUUUUGAAGUCAACAAUGAUGAUGAGUCGGAGGACCCAGAAGCUUAAUGUUUCAGGUGAACUCUAUGCUUGAAGGUCUUUGACGUUUCUUUGAAUCAGUGCCACCGAUAGUUAGGUUUCUAAUGGAAGUAUGAAUCUAAAACUACUAACCGCAACUCCUCUCCCUGCUCUGAUGUAAAUAAAUAAUGGUAGUUGUGUCUGUUUUAGAAGGUU